UUUGUGGGUGUAGCUCUGUGGUAGAAGACUUGGUUGGCAUGCAUGAGGCCUUGGGUUCAAUUCCCAAGACUGCAAAA
rnacentral:tRNA from 1 species